UACGGGGGGGCAAGCGUUGUUCGGAAUUACUGGGCGUAAAGGGCUCGUAGGCGGCCAACUAAGUCAGACGUGAAAUCCCCAGGCUCAACCUGGGAACUGCAUCCGAUACUGGAUGGCUUGAAUUCGGGAGAGGGAUGCAGAAUUCCAGGUGUAGCGGUGAAAUGCGUAGAGAUGUGGAGGAAUACCGAUGGCGAAGGCAGCCCCCUGGGCCAAUACUGACGCUCAUGCACGAAAGCGUGGGGAGCAAACAGG
rnacentral:rRNA from 1 species